AUGAGGAGCUCUUUCUGGCAUCUUUACCAUGGGAACCCAGUGGGUUCUUGAACAGAAAUUCCAUGAAAGUAUGGGAAUCCCCUGAAGACUGCUACCCCCAGAAGUUUCUCACUUUCACAUAAGCCCACGCUCAGCCUCCAACAAUUCAUCAAAACCAUCGCUCCGACCAGCUUACGGCUCCAGUGGCCUCUAUUCCAGGUGAAACCUCUCCGCCCUGGAGGACACCACCAGCAGCUUCACGGAACAGCUCGCAGGCUUCGCGGACACAAUAUAAUUAAAGUCACUUUCGAGGACAGCAUGGAAACUGCUCGUGGUAAAAGGAACUACAGUCCACCUGAAUCUGAGGAGCCUAGGACAGCGAAUU